AGUGAACGCUGGCGGUAGGCCUAACACAUGCAAGUCGAACGGCAGCACAGUAAGAGCUUGCUCUUACGGGUGGCGAGUGGCGGACGGGUGAGGAAUACAUCGGAAUCUACUUUUUCGUGGGGGAUAACGUAGGGAAACUUACGCUAAUACCGCAUACGACCUACGGGUGAAAGCAGGGGAGCUUCGGACCUUGCGCGAUUGAAUGAGACGAUGUCGGAUUAGCUAGUUGGCGGGGUAAAGGCCCACCAAGGCGACGAUCCGUAGCUGGUCUGAGAGGAUGAUCAGCCACACUGGAACUGAGACACUGUCCAGACUCCUACGGGAGGCAGCAGUGGGGAAUAUUGGACAAUGGGCGCAAGCCUGAUCCAGCCAUACCGCGUGGGUGAAGAAGGCCUUCGGGUUGUAAAGCCCUUUUGUUGGGAAAGAAAAGCAGCAGGUUAAUACCCCGCUGUUCUGACGGUACCCAAAGAAUAAGCACCGGCUAACUUCGUG
rnacentral:rRNA from 1 species